AGUGCAUGUGGUGGAUGCCUUGGCAGUCAGAGGCGAUGAAAGACGUGAUAGCCUGCGAAAAGCUCCGGGGAGGCGGCAAAUAUCCUUUGAUCCGGAGAUGUCUGAAUGGGGGAACCCACCUACUUUAAGGUAGGUAUUGCAACAUGAAUACAUAGUGUUGCAAGGCGAACGAGGGGAAGUGAAACAUCUCAGUACCCUUAGGAAAAGAAAUCAAUUGAGAUUCCCUCAGUAGCGGCGAGCGAACGGGGAUCAGCCCAUUAAGUUAUGUGUGUUUUAGUGGAACGCUCUGGGAAGUGCGAACGUAGAGGGUGAUAUUCCCGUACACGAAAGGGCACACAUAAUGAUGACGAGUAGGGCGAGGCACGUGAAACCUUGUCUGAAUAUGGGGGGACCAUCCUCCAAGGCUAAAUACUCCUGACUGACCGAUAGUGAACCAGUACCGUGAGGGAAAGGCGAAAAGAACCCCUGUGAGGGGAGUGAAAUAGAUCCUGAAACCGCAUGCAUACAAGCAGUGGGAGCACCUUCGUGGUGUGACUGCGUACCUUUUGUAUAAUGGGUCAGCGACUUAUAUUCAGUAGCGAGGUUAACCGUAUAGGGGAGCCGUAGAGAAAUCGAGUCUUAAUAGGGCGUUUAGUUGCUGGGUAUAGACCCGAAACCAGGCGAUCUAUCCAUGAGCAGGUUGAAGGUUGGGUAACACUAACUGGAGGACCGAACCCACUGUCGUUGAAAAGCCAGGGGAUGACUUGUGGAUAGGGGUGAAAGGCUAAUCAAGCCUGGUGAUAGCUGGUUCUCCCCGAAAGCUAUUUAGGUAGCGCCUCGGACGAAUACCAUAGGGGGUAGAGCACUGUUUCGGCUAGGGGGUCAUCCCGACUUACCAAACCGAUGCAAACUCCGAAUACCUAUGAGUACUAUCCGGGAGACAGACUGCGGGUGCUAACGUCCGUAGUCAAGAGGAAAACAAUCCAGACCGCCAGCUAAGGCCCCAAAAUCAUAGUUAAGUGGGAAACGAUGUGGGAAGGCAUAGACAGCUAGGAGGUUGGCUUAGAAGCAGCCACCCUUUAAAGAAAGCGUAAUAGCUCACUAGUCGAGUCGGCCUGCGCGGAAGAUGUAACGGGGCUAAAACUAUGUGCCGAAGCUGCGGAUGUAUACUUUGUAUACGUGGUAGGGGAGCGUUCUGUAAGCCGAUGAAGGUGUGUUGAGAAGCAUGCUGGAGGUAUCAGAAGUGCGAAUGCUGACGUGAGUAACGACAAAACGGGUGAAAAACCCGUUCGCCGAAAGACCAAGGGUUCCAGUCCAACGUUAAUCGGGGCUGGGUGAGUCGACCCCUAAGGCGAGGCCGAAAGGCGUAGUCGAUGGGAAAAUGGUUAAUAUUCCAUUACUUCUGUGUAAUGCGAUGAGAGGACGGAGAAGGCUAAAUCAGCCUGGCGUUGGUUGUCCAGGUGAAAGGAUGUAGGCAUGUAUCUUAGGCAAAUCCGGGGUACUCUAUGCUGAGAUCUGAUAGCAAGCUGUACUUGUACAGCGAAGUGGUUGAUGCCAUGCUUCCAGGAAAAGUCUCUAAGCUUCAGUUACACAGGAAUCGUACCCGAAACCGACACAGGUGGUCAGGUCGAGUAGACCAAGGCGCUUGAGAGAACUCUGCUGAAGGAACUAGGCAAAAUGGUACCGUAACUUCGGGAGAAGGUACGCUGUUGUUGGUGAUGGAACUCGCUUCCUGAGCUGACGACAGCCGCAGAAACCAGGCCGCUGCAACUGUUUAUUAAAAACAUAGCACUCUGCAAACACGAAAGUGGACGUAUAGGGUGUGAUGCCUGCCCGGUGCUGGAAGGUUAAUUGAUGGGGUUAGCGUAAGCGAAGCUCUUGAUCGAAGCCCCAGUAAACGGCGGCCGUAACUAUAACGGUCCUAAGGUAGCGAAAUUCCUUGUCGGGUAAGUUCCGACCUGCACGAAUGGCAUAAUGAUGGCGGCGCUGUCUCCAGCAGAGGCUCAGUGAAAUCGAAAUCGCUGUGAAGAUGCAGUGUACCCGCGGCUAGACGGAAAGACCCCGUGAACCUUUACUGCAGCUUGACACUGAACUUUGACCUUACUUGUGUAGGAU
rnacentral:rRNA from 1 species